rnacentral:lncRNA from 1 species
GCAAAACCCAUUAAAGAAAUGAAAUUUCCGAGUCAGGUCCGGAUAGAGAAAUCAGGUUUUAGACGUCGUAUGGCAGAGUUAUCCUCUUCAAUUUUAAUAAAAAAGAUUGGAUUUUAAGCUCUCAAGAGGCAAUUUCAAGUCAUCUCUCACCUCAUGCGAAUGCAAGGCAAACCUGGUGCCCUCAGUGAAUUUGGAGCUGCCAAAAAAGUACCUGUCUCUCUCUAUUUGCAAAACAUUUUUUUAUUUCAAAUGUUCUAGUUAAGAUUUUGUCGGGAAAUUCAGUUAUGCAAGUAUCCGUUAAUCAUUUGGUGAUAGCUUUGCCGGUUCUUUCAUGUAAUUCAUACUUUGAGAUCGACUCGCUAAUUUUCAGCGAUCCAUCGUAUUAAUUGUAUGUUUACCCAAGAUGGUUUUUUGGCCUGAUUAUCUUUCACAGGAUCAGCUAAGAAAACAUGAAAGCUCGAUGCAUGAUGAAGCCAGGGAGUCUACCUGUGGAGAAGAUCAUUUUUUUCUGUGUCUGCAAGUAGGACAAACUUGGUUUCCUUCUUUAGCACCUCUACCAUUGUCAAACUUG